rnacentral:rRNA from 1 species
UACGUAGGGUGCAAGCGUUGUCCGGAAUUAUUGGGCGUAAAGAGCUCGUAGGCGGUCUGUCGCGUCGGCUGUGAAAACCCGGGGCUCAACCCCGGGCCUGCAGUCGAUACGGGCAGACUAGAGUGCGGUAAGGGGAGACUGGAAUUCCUGGUGUAGCGGUGAAAUGCGCAGAUAUCAGGAGGAACACCGGUGGCGAAGGCGGGUCUCUGGGCCGUAACUGACGCUGAGGAGCGAAAGCGUGGGGAGCGAACAGG